rnacentral:snRNA from 1 species
AUUUUCUCGGUUGAAUACUAAUAUUUAUACUAAAAUUGGAACAUUACAGAGAAGAUUAGCAUGGCCUCUGCGCAAG